rnacentral:rRNA from 1 species
UGGGGAAUUUUGGACAAUGGGCGAAAGCCUGAUCCAGCAAUGCCGCGUGUGUGAAGAAGGCCUUCGGGUUGUAAAGCACUUUUGUCCGGAAAGAAAUCCUUGGCUCUAAUACAGUCGGGGGAUGACGGUACCGGAAGAAUAAGCACCGGCUAACUACGUGCCAGCAGCCGCGGUAAUACGUAGGGUGCAAGCGUUAAUCGGAAUUACUGGGCGUAAAGCGUGCGCAGGCGGUUUGCUAAGACCGAUGUGAAAUCCCCGGGCUCAACCUGGGAACUGCAUUGGUGACUGGCAGGCUAGAGUAUGGCAGAGGGGGGUAGAAUUCCACGUGUAGCAGUGAAAUGCGUAGAGAUGUGGAGGAAUACCGAUGGCGAAGGCAGCCCCCUGGGCCAAUACUGGCGCUCAUGCACGAAAGCGUGGGGAGCAAACAGGAUUAGAUACCCUGGUAGUCCACGCCCUAAACGAUGUCAACUAGUUGUUGGGGAUUCAUUUCCUUAGUAACGUAGCUAACGCGUGAAGUUGACCGCCUGGGGAGUACGGUCGCAAGAUUAAAACUCAAAUGAAUUGACGGGGUCAUAGCUGUUUCCU